AGCAAAUAUUCAAACAAGAGCUUUGAAGGCCAAAGUGGAGCAGGGUUCUAUGUGAACAUGAGUCAGUCGGUCCUAAGUGAUAGGCGACCUCCGUUCUGAAAGGGCAGGCGAUGGCCUCCAUUGCCCUCAACUGAUCGAAGGGGAGUCGGGUUCAGGUCCCGAAUCCGGAGUGGUGGAGACGGGUGCCGCGACGCGCCCAGUGCGGUGACACAACUGAUCCCCUAGAAACUGGUGGGAGCCCCGGGGAGAGUUCCCUUUUCUUUGUGAAGGGCCGGGCGCCCUGGAAUGGGUUCGCCCCGAGAGAGGGUCCCGCCCUGCCUAUCGAAUGGCUUCACCAACCAUUUGAUAGUCUUUAUUUUAGGUGAAAAAAAUUUAUGGCACUCACUGGAUAAGAGUGCCUGAAGUCUAUGCUCA
rnacentral:ncRNA from 1 species